UCAACACUAGCACGUUCUAAUCAAUACUAUACUAAAAGCUAAAUAAACUUCAUAGAUAGAGUGUCCACGUCACUCUUUUAAUUCCAACCAAUGGGAGCUCAGCAUACAUCCACGUCACAACUUAUCUGCCUCUGAUGGGCUUGAACCGAACUCGGUCUCUGGGCUUCGAAACCGUGGUGUGGCUGCCAGCCCGUAAGCCCAAAGUAAUGCUCACAUCACUUUCCUUGCGUAAACCCUAAGGGCCGAAUGGGAUUGUCGAGACCGCUCCUGUUCAUCUUCCUCUUCCUUCUGUUUGCGAUGCAGACUUCCGUGUAAUCAAUUUUCCCCCACGUCUUCGCACUCUUCAAUCCCCCAUUAACCCCAUUAAUGGGGUCCGUUGGCUUCCUCUUCGGGUCUUCUAUAAAACCUGCACUUCACGACAAUGGAUUUACAUCCAAACUUCAUUUUCCUCUCUCCAAUCUCAAUCGCUCCUUUUCCUCUCUCCAAUCUCAAUCGCGAUGAAGAUUACCGGUUCAAGCGACCCUGUGAACUCGAAAUGCGAAGCGGCGGCCCUCUCUGCUCCGGUCAAAACCGGUGACCAAUCCGGCGUCGUCCCCUCGGUGAAGCAAGCGAUCUCGGCGGUUGUCUCCGCCGGUCCGGUAAACCCAGCCGUCAACUCCGGUGGCGGUUCCGGCGAUGUGAAUUCGGUGAAGCCAAACAAAGGUGCGCCGGUCUCUUCCAGUCCAGGCAAACAGGUCGUGAAGACCGGAGCUUCUUCGGGUGUAAGAAUCGGCGUGAGGCACAAAACAUCUGUCUCCGUCGGUGAUAAGACUGGUUGAGUUCUAACCAAGAGAUUUCUAAGCGGGUUAAUGCAGAUGAUGUUACAAAGGCUGAGACAAUUACAAUUGGGCAAAUAUUUUACAACAUCAAGCAUGAAUAUGCUUUAGAUAACUCUGUAAAAUCCAUGUCUAUUGCAUGGUAUUAUAUUGCCUGCAACAGUUGUCAAAGUAAGGCCACCAAAGGCCCUUUUCUGUUGAUGUGCGCCAAGUGUGGCAACGCUAACCUUGCUGGUGUAGCAAAAUAGCUACGAUAGUAGUGACCAGGCUGUUUUCUUCCUACUUGGUGAACCAGGACCUGAGUUGACUGAGAAGAAUGCUGCGGAAUUGUUUGACCACUACUUUGAGGCUAAUUUGGUGCUGGCCAUGAGAUGUCUCGCCCCCCCCCCCCCCACCCCCCACCCAAGCUUUUGAUCGACACUUGGACAAACAGACCUCAACUCAACAGGCAAGAUAACUGUUACUAAGAUUGUCUCACCAGAAGUUCUAUCACCUGUACCAACUCCAACUGAAAUCCCACUUGAUGAAGAUGAUGAAGUUGAUGUGCCUUCUGCAAAUGUCGUUGCUGGCUCUGGAUCUAUUGAUGAUUAGGAAAAUGAAAGUACAAGUAACAGGGAUGAUUCACAGAAGGCUGACCGUCCUAAACAUGGAAACUAGAGGUUAAACAACUCAUUCCAUACGAUGCAGGGUCAUGGUCUUUUUAUUUCCUUUGCAGCCACAAUUAAGCUUUUUUAAUUAUAAACUUCCGAUCUUGCUUUGAUUUAA